rnacentral:rRNA from 1 species
CAGACGAGGAGCUUGCUCCUCUGACGUUAGCGGCGGACGGGUGAGUAACACGUGGAUAACCUACCUAUAAGACUGGGAUAACUUCGGGAAACCGGAGCUAAUACCGGAUAAAGUAUUGAACCGCAUGGUUCAAUAGUGAAAGACGGUUUUGCUGUCACUUAUAGAUGGAUCCGCGCCGCAUUAGCUAGUUGGUAAGGUAACGGCUUACCAAGGCAACGAUGCGUAGCCGACCUGAGAGGGUGAUCGGCCACACUGGAACUGAGACACGGUCCAGACUCCUACGGGAGGCAGCAGUAGGGAAUCUUCCGCAAUGGGCGAAAGCCUGACGGAGCAACGCCGCGUGAGUGAUGAAGGUCUUCGGAUCGUAAAACUCUGUUAUUAGGGAA